rnacentral:lncRNA from 1 species
UUUCAAAUCAAUUCAAACCACUCAGAAGGUUUGGAUAUAAUUUUGCACUGAAAGGGUUAAGUUGCAAGGUUCAUAUAUUUGAAGCCCUUUAGUCCUUAUGAUAGUUCUAGAUGUUUUUGGGGUGAUAGUUCUAGAUGUUUUUGGGGUUAUGCCUGAAGGAAUCGAAAACUUGAGGGUCUGAAUUGAAAUUUCUUAUUCCAUUAUGAUUAGGAAAAAAAUUAUUCUACUGAUUGGAGACCGUAACUAUUUCUAUUGUCAAGCAG